rnacentral:rRNA from 1 species
GACAGAGGGUGCAAACGUUGCUCGGAAUUACUGGGCGUAAAGCGCGUGUAGGUGGAUUGGUGUGUCAGAUGUGAAAGCCCUGGGCUCAACCCAGGAACUGCACCUGAAACUACCAGUCUUGAGUGGUGGAGAGGGAAGUGGAAUUCCUGGUGUAGAGGUGAAAUUCGUAGAUAUCAAGCAGAACACCUGUGGCGAAGGCGGCCUUCUGGACGAUGACUGACGCUGAGACGCGAAAGCGUGGGGAGCAAACAGG